UUUAUUUAUGAAACACUUCUGAGCUUAUUGGCACAAAGGCACAACCUAACGUAGCAUACAGGGUGGUCCAUUUAAAACAGUCCCCUUUAAAGAGGAUGGCUUUAAGUGUGGCCCAUUGUAAGUGGGUCACCAGAUGUAAUUGUUAUGUCAGUCCUUCCUGGCAUUGUAAAAAUAGGGAAGACUUUCAGGGGUUGGGAGUGUGUGUGGAAAACACAGAGAGGCUGGGGGAGCUUUAGAACCGUGAGAAUAAAGGAAUCUUCCAGGAGGCUUGAUAACUGGGAAAUAAAAUACAAGUAAACAAAUGGGAAAUGGUUUUCAGUCUCGAUGCUAAUAUCUUUGUGAUCACAGGAGAGAUCAUGGUCAUCACACUCCAGAUUAAAAGCAAUCCAUCAUAAUUUCUGUCGGAAAUGAAAAUUUAAAUAUGCCCCUUUGUACACCUCGUCUCCUGGCCUCACCGUCCGUCCUCAUCGCCAUGGGUUAAACCUGACUUGAGUAUCACACACCAGACCCCAGACCAAGGACUGUGUGAUGAGAGCUCAUCUGUCCUUUGCCAAGAUUCUAAUGUUCCACUCUAGACAAUCUGGGCUCCUGGCUCCCGAAACUGCUUCUUCUGUGGCCAGGCCUUGAGGCCCCAGGAUCUGCCCACAUUCCAGAGAGGGUUAGGGUUUCUCAUUAAUCUCUGUCUGGACCCUGUCCUCAGAUUAGCAGCCACUGAAAUGCAAUCCCUGUAAUGAGAAAUGAACAGCCUGACCCAUGUUGUUUCUCUGAGACCCGUUGUCUCCAACUUCUCACCUCUCCCAGGCAUAGCACGUUGCCUGAAAGAAGCCAUUACUGUGUUCUCACUGCGGAGCCAUCACCCAUCACUCCAGAAAGUGUGCAAAGGAGUCCUUCCUUCACAGCUUGACAUCUCUGCCCACAUUUGGCACGAACAGAGGAAGCCUCCUAGGGUAGAGAAAGGGGAUGCACUUAGGUUCUAGAGAGCAGAGUUGACACUCUUUCCCAGAAUGAAAAUAAAAGAGCAGGGUCUGGAAAGGA